rnacentral:rRNA from 1 species
GGAAUAUUGCACAAUGGGGGAAACCCUGAUGCAGCGACGCCGCGUGAGCGAUGAAGUAUUUCGGUAUGUAAAGCUCUAUCAGUAGGGAAGAGAUAGGACGGUACCUAAGGAAGAAGCACCGGCUAAAUACGUGCCAGCAGCCGCGGUAAUACGUAUGGUGCAAGCGUUAUCCGGAAUUACUGGGUGUAAAGGGAGCGUAGGUGGCAAGGCAAGUCUGAUGUGAAACCCCAAAGCUUAACUAUGGGAAUGCAUUGGAAACUGUCUAGCUAGAGUGUAGGAGAGGUAAGCGGAAUUCCUAGUGUAGCGGUGAAAUGCGUAGAUAUUAGGAGGAACAUCGGUGGCGAAGGCGGCUUACUGGACUAUAACAGACACUGAGGCUCGAAAGCGUGGGGAGCGAACA